UCAAGCUCAAUGCCCUGCCACUCCCUAUGCAGUGACUGAUAUAUUCUUUUUUUUAAAUGUUUUGUUUUUUUAAUUUUAGAGGGAGAGAGAGAGCAAGCACGGCGAGCAGAGAAGAAGGGCAGCGGGAGAGAGAGAACGUUAAGCGGGCUCUCACCUCCUAGCUGGACUUGGCCAAUCCCGGGGCUCUAGGAUCACGACCUGAGCCGUAAUUGAGAGUGGAAGGCUCAACCUACUAAGCCACGCAGGCGCCCAAUGACUGACAUAUUCUCAUGGGAAAAUGGGGGCCUUUUUCCCCAGUAGAUCAGAAGAAAGAGAGAGUAGAACAAAGGAGAACAGUGACUAAGCAAUUCUCCAGCACAAGAAAGGCAAGAGUUGGAGACUUACUGAUGAAGAGGUCCCUUCAUGGUCACCAAAAAGAUGUUGCCGGGUAAACUGGGGAGACCACAGGCCCUGGAGCCUCAACCCAGCCAGACCCAAACGAAUAGCUGAAGGUUCUUGGUCAUGGAAAGGAAUUCAAGGACAGACAUGUAGCACAGCAGAUGAGUAACAGAAACAGGAAAGUUUAUUAAAGUAAAAAACACUCAGGAGUUCUGAGAGGGGAAAGCAAGCUGCACAUCCUGGGGGUUGGGUUUCUACCUUUUAUUGACAGUUGUUAACUAGGGGGCAGAAUAUUUAUUAUUUGGGGUGGGAAGUAGGGUUUUGAACUUUUUCUUUUCUUUUCUUGUCUUUAUUUAUUUAUUUAUUUAUUUAUUUAUUUAUUUUUUAAUGCUUAUUUAUUUUUGAAAGAGAGAGACACAGAGCAUGAGCAGGGGAGGGGCAGAGAGAGAGAGAGGGAGACGCAGAAUCCGAAGCAGACUCCAGGCUCCAUUCUGUCAUCACAGAGCCUGAUGCUGGGCUCAAACCCACGAACUGCAAGAUCAUAUGACCUGAGCUGAAGUUGGUGGCUUAACCAACUGAGCCACCUAGGCACCCCUGGAGUUUUUUCUUUAAAUCCAAAUUGACUCCAAUGUGUUAGGAGACAGCGAAAGAGAGAAUCCUUCCUUUGGGAUUGAGGAAGUUGAUCCCAUAGUUAAAUCUUACAAAGCAAAGAGAGUACAUUAACUAAGAGUCCAUUACUAAAAUCCCCCGUGGUUUCCGAAUGGUAUCCCAUCAGGAAUAUUGUUGAAUGUUCCUGGAGUUCAGAGUGGCAAGAGGCAUCCCUCUUCUUGACCACUCUAACACCUCUGUACUACCUGAGAGGGAAUGUCGACCUCCCUUCACUUCCCUCCUGCAUCCUAGGCUACAUUAGGGGCCGGUAGAUGGACUGAAAUACAAGAAACAUUGAGGCUGCCUCUUUCAAUUUUGAGGGAGUAAAUAUAUUUGGCAACGAAUAAUAAUACCCCUUGCAAGCUUCUAGAUAUAGUGUUAAUGGAUGGGGGUAAAGGUCCUGGCCUUUGUUGAGAAAGGCAGCUAUUUCAUAUCAUAUCAAACAUCAUAUAUCUAAGCUAGAAGUACUUUCAAUCUGAGAGCAGGAAUGCCAAACAGCCCAUGGGGAAGGACAAAUGAGAGACAUGAGAAAACAAAAGUGUGGAACUCCUAGUUCUAAUCUGGGCAACUUUCUUGUGAGCUUUAUCCAUGGAGCGGUCCCAAAGGAGUGGUCCCCUGUUGAGUGAAUGACCCAACUGGGUAAUAGCUCGAACCAGUCCCUUUCAGGAUGUAUGAGGUUGGAUUUAACUUGGAUUUCAUGCUCAUCGAGGGAUCCUGCCAGGUUAUUUUGGAGGAAACCUUACAGGCAAGUCUUAGGAUCAGCGGCUACCUAAUAGCAUGUAUGGCCAUCCUGUGUCCAAAGAAUACAAGUAUUAAAAGAACAGGUAAAACAAGGAGAUCCUGAUUUCUGAGCCCAAUGCUAUUACAGCCAAGAUACUAGUGUCUGGCCAGAUGGCAGGAAUUUGUCUCUCCCCAUAGUGUAGCCACAGGCAAGAGGUUCUCUCCUGAGCAUUUGGACAAGGCAUCUUCUGAAGUGUUGUAUUAUUCAGGUAAUCUCUGAAAAAGAAACAAAGAAGGCUUACCAAGCUACUUUUGGAUUCACUUUGUCACUGUCACCAUAAUGGGCCACCAAAACUGAUGUUGGGGUCAUGGAGUACAAUGGUCAAGGAAUAAUUCUUGAGAUGUUUAUGGUGCAACUUAGUAACUUUAUUUAAGUAGCAUGGGGACAGGACCCGUGGGCAGUAAGAGCUGCACUGUUUGCCGUGUAAGGCUGGUGGUUAUAUACUUAGUAAUCAAAGGGGAGGGGGCAUGUAGGAAGAGAGUAUCAGUUACAAAAGUUUCUUUGAAUUUCUUUGAAUUUGUACUCCUAAAACUACUUUUGCAAGGUUCUUCUGGUGCUUAUCAUUCAGUUCAAUAUUAACUAUUGGUCAGAUAUACAGGCAGUCAUGAGACCCUUAAAGAAUGUAGCAACCAGCAUGUAUUUGAUCCUUAUUGAAACAGUGUAGGCAUUAGGUCAACCUUCAGGGCAAAGGGCAAACAUCUCUCUGCUUCUGUCCCUCAUCAUAAUGACCUUAUAUUCAUAAGAUAACUUGGGAGAAACUUGUGUACAAUAUUAAGGAUUCACAUUCAAGUACUUGUGGUAUUUGCAUUAAUGUUUAUGGACCUUCAAAAACAUUUGUAAUCUUUCCAUGGAUUUUCAGUAUGUUUCAAGUAUUUUAUAUAUUGAUAUUGUAAAUGAUAAUUUUUUUGAAUUAUACUUUCCAACAGGCUGUUGUUGGUAAAUGGAAAAUCUAUUGCUUUUAUAUAUUAUUUUGUAAUUACCCACAUUUCUGAACUUAAUGGUUUUUCAGUUUACUCUCCCAAUUUUUAAGGAAGAUAAUUAAGUCUCCAAUAAGAAUACUUUAAUUGCUUCUUUUCCAAUGUAUAUUUAGGCUCUUUAAUUGUAUAUUAUCUUAUUAUAUUGGAUAUGACUAUCUAGAAAAUAUAAAUAAUAAUAGUGGUUAUAGUGGGAAAUUUGUUUAAUUCUUGAUAUCAUAGGAAUAGUUCAGUAAGUGUUAUGUUGAUGGUUGAUUUGCAAUAGACAUUCUUUAGCAUAAGUAUCUUUCUAUGCCUAGGUUCUGAUGAUUCGUUUGUUUUUGUAUCUAUACAGGAUUGAUUGUUCAAUUUUAUCAAAUGUCAAUAAUAAAAAUGACCAUAUGGUU